AUUAUUUUGGCAGAAUAGUGCAUUAAAUUUAGAAUUUAAAAAUGUGUAAUUACAAAUAAUA
rnacentral:tRNA from 1 species